UAUUAUUGCCCGGAAUCUGAGAGCCAGUCUAGCAUUGGGAAUUAUUGGUGUGAUGGAGAUUAUCAGAAGAGAUGCGAAAGAAAACUAAAAAUAACAGGAUCUAGAAAAAAAAGUCAAUGCUAACUAGAUUACGGAGAUGCUAAAAAUAUGUCUCCGAUCUCUGGGCUCUCCACUCUGAUGCUUGUCGAGAAGAAACACAGUGCUAAUUAAACAAGUGUUGUUGCUGGUAAAGCAGAACCAGAAUGAAUUAUUUCGCCAUUUGCUAUAUACAUAAGUUACUUAAAAUGCUAUUUCACUAACCCAUGGCUUAUGGGUUGGUUAUAGAUGGACAUGUCCAUUGAUUAAAUGGAUACCUUUCAAGAGGAAUACUAUAUUCGUGUACAUGAUGGUGUUUGGCAUAGCAUAAUACGGCCCGAAAUGGAAGCUUAAACAUACCACAAGCGUCACAAGCCCCUUAAUUGAGGAUCACGGUCUCUGUCACUCCCUUUACUGAUGUUGUAAAUACGAAUGUGUAGCUAGGAUGGGAGAUGGGAUAAUAAUAAUGCAAUUGCGACUGGCAGUUUUAUAAGAGUCGUGUUUUGUUGGAAAUGAGUGGGUGUUUCUGACCUUUGUAGUUUACUAGCUGUUGAAUAAUUAAAGAUUUUAUGUGGGUGAAAAGUGAAGGUAAAUAUAUAUUCGUUAAACAAACAAAG